AGCAGGAUGAUUCUAAAUCACUAGGAA
rnacentral:piRNA from 1 species